GGAUGAACGCUGGCGGCGUGCCUAAUACAUGCAAGUCGAGCGAACGGACGAGAAGCUUGCUUCUCUGAUGUUAGCGGCGGACGGGUGAGUAACACGUGGAUAACCUACCUAUAAGACUGGGAUAACUUCGGGAAACCGUAGCUAAUACCGGAUAAUAUUUUGAACCGCAUGGUUCAAAAGUGAAAGACGGCCUUGCUGUCACUUAUAGAUGGAUCCGCGCUGCAUUAGCUAGUUGGUAAGGUAACGGCUUACCAAGGCAACGAUGCAUAGCCGACCUGAGAGGGUGAUCGGCCACACUGGAACUGAGACACGGUCCAGACUCCUACGGGAGGCAGCAGUAGGGAAUCUUCCGCAAUGGGCGAAAGCCUGACGGAGCAACGCCGCGUGAGUGAUGAAGGUCUUCGGAUCGUAAAACUCUGUUAUUAGGGAAGAACAUAUGUGUAAGUAACUGUGCACAUCUUGACGGUACCUAAUCAGAAAGCCACGGCUAACUACGUG
rnacentral:rRNA from 1 species